GCAGAUAGUCUUCCUUGUGCAGAAGGAGAGUUUAUCUUCCUUCGUCUUGAUGUUCUUCGUGAGUAUUUGGAAAGAGAGCUCACCAUGGCCAGCCUACCGCUCACAUUUGAUGUCGAGAGGAGCACUGAUGACUGGGUCUUCAUGUGCUUCUUUGUGGGAAAUGACUUCCUUCCUCACCUGCCGUCGUUAGAGAUUCGGGUUACCUUACAGAAAGUGGUUAUGUCAAUCUGCAAAGAUUACAGAUGAUCAUGUUAGCAGUUGGUGAAGUUGAGGAUAGCAUUUUUAAAAAGAGAAAGGAUGAUGAGGACAGUUUUAGAAGACGACAGAAAGAAAAGAGAAAGAGAAUGAAGAGAGAUCAACCAGCUUUCACUCCUGGUGGAAUAUUAACCCCUCAUGCCUCGGGUUCAAGAAAUUCACCAGGUUCUCAAGUAGCCAGUAAUCCGAGACAAGCAGCCUAUGAAAUGAGGAUGCAGAAUAAUUCUAGUCCUUCAGUAUCUCCUAAUACGAGUUUCACUUCUGAUGGCCC